rnacentral:rRNA from 1 species
CGGAACGUGCCUAGUAGUGGGGGAUAACUACUCGAAAGAGUAGCUAAUACCGCAUGAGAUCUAAGGAUGAAAGCAGGGGACCUUCGGGCCUUGCGCUACUAGAGCGGCUGAUGGCAGAUUAGGUAGUUGGUGGGAUAAAAGCUUACCAAGCCGACGAUCUGUAGCUGGUCUGAGAGGACGACCAGCCACACUGGGACUGAGACACGGCCCAGACUCCUACGGGAGGCAGCAGUGGGGAAUUUUGGACAAUGGGCGAAAGCCUGAUCCAGCAAUGCCGCGUGUAGGAUGAAGGCCCUCGGGUUGUAAACUACUUUUGUACGGAACGAAAAGCUCUCUUCUAAUAAAGGAGAGUGAUGACGGUACCGUAAGAAUAAGCACCGGCUAACUACGUGCCAGCAGCCGCGGUAAUACGUAGGGUGCGAGCGUUAAUCGGAAUUACUGGGCGUAAAGCGUGCGCAGGCGGUUAUGUAAGACAGAGGUGAAAUCCCCGGGCUCAACCUGGGAACGGCCUUUGUGACUGCAUAGCUAGAGUACGGUAGAGGGGGAUGGAAUUCCGCGU